GAGAGAGAGAGAGAGAGAGAGAGAGAGAGAGAGAGAGAGAGAGAGAGAGAGAGAGAGAGAGAGAGAGAGAGAGAGAGAGAGAGAGAGAGUAAUAAAAAUGUGUCUUAUUCCUGUCCUGUUCAAUUUAAAAUCACACGUCUUAAACCUAUAAACACACACACACACACACACACACACACACACACACACACACACACACACACACACACACACACACACACACACACA